UGAGACCCCAAUGGGACCCCCCAAAUGGGACCCCAAUGGGACCCCAAUGAGACCCCAAUGGGACCCCAAUGGGACCCCAAUGGGACCCCAAUAGAGACCCUAAUGGAGACCCCAAUGGAGACCCCCCCAAUGGGACCUCAAUGAGACCCCAAUAGAGACCCCCCAAAUGGGACCCCAAUGAGACCCCAAUAAAGACCCCAAUGGAGAACCCAAUGGAGACCCCAGUGAGCAUUCCAAUGGGGACCCUAAUGGGAACCCUAAUGGGGACCCUAAUGGGAACCCAAUUGGAGACCCUAAUGGGGACCCUAAUGGAGACUAUGGGGGAAGUCUCUAUGGGGCAGCUAUGGGGUCUCUAUGGGGCAGCUAUGGGGUUUCUAUGGGGUCUCUAUGGGGCAGCUAUGGGGCAGUUAUGGGGUCUCUAUGGGGCAGCUAUGGGGCAGCAAUGGGGCAGCUAUGGUGUCCCUAUGGGGCAGCUGUGGGGUCUCUAUGGGGCAGCUAUGGGGCAGCUAUGGGGCAGCUAUGGGGUCUCUAUGGGGUCUCUAUGGGGCAGCUAUGGGGCAGCUAUGGGGCAGCUAUGGGGCAGCUAUGGGGCAGCUAUGGGGUCCCUAUGCCCCCCAUAGUGUUGUAUGGACCCCAAUGACCCCGUACCAUCCUCAGGUAGUUCAUGAGGCUGGUCCCGUGCUACCCCAUUGGGUUUGGGAUCCCCCCAUUGGGUUCCAUGUCCCCCCAUUGGGUUCCUAUCCUCCCCAUAGUGUUCUAUUGCCCCCCAUUGGGUUCUUAUCCCCCCCAUAG
rnacentral:lncRNA from 1 species